AAACUUUCAACAACGGAUCUCUUGGUUCUGGCAUCGAUGAAGAACGCAGCGAACUGCGAUAAGUAAUGUGAAUUGCAGAAUUCAGUGAACCAUCGAAUCUUUGAACGCACAUUGCGCCCGCCAGCAUUCUGGCGGGCAUGCCUGUCCGAGCGUCAUUU
rnacentral:rRNA from 5 species